rnacentral:rRNA from 1 species
AACGAACGCUGGCGGCAUGCCUAACACAUGCAAGUCGAACGAUUGCCUUCGGGUGAUAGUGGCGCACGGGUGCGUAACGCGUUGGAAUCUGCCCUUAGGUUCGGAAUAACAGCUGGAAACGGCUGCUAAUACCGGAUGAUAUCGCGAGAUCAAAGGUUUAUCGCCUGAGGAUGAGCCCGCGUUGGAUUAGGUAGGUGGUGGGGUAAAGGCCUUCCAAGCCGACGAUCCAUAGCUGGUCUGAGAGGAUGAUCAGCCACACUGGGACUGAGACACGGCCCAGACUCCUACGCGAGGCAGCAGUGGGGAAUAUUGGACAAUGGGCGCAAGCCUGAUCCAGCAAUGCCGCGUGAGUGAUGAAGGCCCUAGGGUUGUAAAGCUCUUUUACCCGGGAAGAUAAUGACUGUACCGGGAGAAUAAGCCCCGGCUAACUCCGUG